rnacentral:rRNA from 1 species
UUUCGCAAUGCCCGAAAGGGUGACGAAGCGACGCCGCGUGUGGGAAGAAGGCCUUCGGGUUGUAAACCACUGUCGGGAGUUAGGAAAUGUAAGGGUGCUCAUAGUAUCCUUACUUGACUAAGGCUCCGGAGGAAGCCACGGCUAACUCUGUGCCAGCAGCCGCGGUAAUACAGAGGCGGCAAGCGUUGUUCGGAAUUAUUGGGCGUAAAGAGCACGUAGGCGGCCUUGUAAGUCAGUUGUGAAAGCCUUCUGCUUAACGGAAGAACAGCAGCUGAUACUGCAAGGCUAGAGUGCGGAAGGGGAGAGUGGAACUUCUGGUGGAGCGGUGAAAUGCGUAGAUAUCAGAAGGAACACCGGCGGCGAAGGCGACUCUCUGGUCCGUAACGGACGCUGAGUGUGCGAAAGCUAGGGGAGCAAACGGGAUUAGAUACCCCGGUAGUCCUAGCCGUAAACGAUGGGCACUAAGUAGAGGGGUUUUA